UGACACUGGUGUCUUUGGGACACAACACUAGAGAGGUGACACUGGUGUCUUUGGAACACAGCACUAAAGAGGUGACACUGGGGUAUUUGGGAC